GGAAAGCCAAGCCUUAAGCUUGGGUAAUAUUUGCCUAUUAGAUGGAUCUUGGACAGCUUCUGAUCGCUUUAGUGGAUGUGGAUGGGUCUGAAUAGAUAGCGGGGAGAACACACAACUUAUGGGAACACGGAAUUUCAUGAGAUGUGAAUCAGCAUUGCAUUCGGAGGUAGAAGCACUGCGAUGGGCGAUGGAGAAUAUGCUUCAACACUCGCCAUGCCAGAGCUUUGGAACAGAUUGCAAGGAGCUGAUAGCAAUGAUAAAGGAACCCCAAGAGUGGCCAAGUUUCGCGACAGAACGCAAGGAGCUGAUAGAAAUGAUAAAUGAACCCCAAGAGUGGCCAAGUUUCGCGACAGAAUUGGAGAAGAUAGAGACGCUGCAGAUUUGCUUCCCGGACUUCAAAAUCACCCAUGUACCACGAGUGCGCAACCAGUUUUCUGAUUUUUU
rnacentral:lncRNA from 1 species